AUUGAACGCUGGCGGCAGGCCUAACACAUGCACGUCGAACGAGUGGCGGACGGGUGAGUAAUGUCUGGGAAACUGCCUGAUGGAGGGGGAUAACUACUGGAAACGGUAGCUAAUACCGCAUACCAUCGGAUGUGCCCAGAUGGGAUUAGCUAGUAGGUGGGGUAAAGGCGAACCUAGGCGACGAUCCCUAGCUGGUCUGAGAGGAUGACAAGCCACACGGGAACGGAGACACGGUCCAGAUUCCGAAGGGAGGCAGCAGUGGGGAAUAGUGCACAAUGGGCGCAAGCCUGAUGCAGCCAUGCCGCGUGAGUGAAGAAGGCCUUCGGGUUGUAAAGCACUUUCAGCGAGGAGGCGUUACUCGAAGAGGAAGCACCGGCUAACUCCGUGCCAGCCGCCGCGGUAAUAC
rnacentral:rRNA from 1 species